rnacentral:tRNA from 1 species
UCGAUGGUGGCGCGGUUCAGCGCGUUGAGCUGGUCGGGGCGGUUGAUGGUGAUGGUGCGGAUGCCCUCGGCAUCGGAC